CCCCUCAUCUCUCUCUCUCUCUCUCUCUCGCCAGACCUAAACAAGAUCUAGUUUUUCUCCCCUCCUAAUUUUCGAUCUCUCCCACUCUAGUGUUUUCUUCUGGGUAACUGUUGCAACCCAUCACAAUUGUCAUCAGUUUUCAAUCUCAUCAAGGAGUGACCUCCGUCGGCCUAGACGAUGCCGAUUCAAGUUUACGCUAUUAUAUUUCUGUAAUCUCUGACAUUUCCGUAGGCGUUCGAUAUUGGGGAUCUGAUGUUCCCACAAAUUUGCCGCCAUGGAGAGGCGGCGGAUCUACGAUAUCGUUAAUGUCCUCUAGAGCGUUGGGGUUCUUGCGCGAAAGGCAAAGAAUCAGUAUUCUUGGAAAGGAUUUGGGGCAAUCUCUAAUGCUAUACAGGAGCUUAACCAGAGUCCCACUUCGUGAACUUUCGGAGCAAGGUUUGGGUUUAUUUCGGAAAAGGUGGCUACUAGACUUUUGAUUGAGUUUGGGAGGAAGCUUUCAAUAGCUUUUGGUUGGCUUGGAGGAGCAGGAGACUACUUUUCUCAAACAGUUUGAUCAAAUUCACAAAAAUAUGUAAAAGUAAUGCCAAAGAAAGCGCAUCAGCAAUUUUCCAUACAGAGUAUGAAAAUGCUGGUAGCCAGUUCUGUACUUUCGUUUAGGCACCGGUAGAAAACCCCACACUUAUACAAGUACAUAUAUACAUUUGUAGUUAUUCUGCAUAUCAAAAACUACAUGCACGCCAAACUGAAUAACUAUUUCUCUACUUUGUGUUUAGGCUCCAAAAAAGCUUUAGCCAAGUUCAUAAGUUCAAGAUUUACAGCAAGGAUUUACUAUAGUUAAUCAGGAAGCUAAGGCAUUAUUAAGAAGAUACAGAUAUCGUACAGGAACCAUAGAAGUUGCUUUACACGUAUUUGAAGGGGAAUAGAUAUUGAUGCAGUGACUCCAAAAAUCAAAGUCACCCUUGCUUGAGCAGGCAAACAUUGUAGGAGACGUUCUUAAGAAAGCAUAUGAAAGUUGCUGGAGGUAGAGGUAGCAGAUGCAGCUAAGGGGAGGAACAUGAAGAGAUAUAUGUUUUUUUAUGUUGUAGUUUCGUUUUACUUUUAUGAAUUGUACAGUAUAUUUUAGAAAUAUAUAGUAUAUUUGAAGUUUUA